CACAACCUCUUUUGGAACAGCUGCACCUGCACGAAUCCAUUCUGUCAGCCACUGUGUGAUAGCAUGAACAUCAUGUCUCUCCGACAACAUUUGCACCACUGGGACACUUGAGCUGUUAAGCCCUGUCAGAACUCCCUGAUACAGGAAGAUAUGGCCAGACGAGCCAUUUGGUCUGACCAGUUUCCUAACUACUGAGCCAGCUGCAUCGAAACAUGCUGUUGAUGUGGCCAAAUUAGGUAGAUGGCUUGGUUCAGGAUCUCCAAAGUUCAUCAGCUUCUUCGCCUGUGAUCCCCACCAUACAUGGGGUUUCAUCCUGCCUUCGCAUAGUUCUUUGGCUAUCUGCACCUGCAUGUUUCCAGACAUGAAACACUUCGAACAGCCAGUGCGGAGGGAGUCGUCAGCAUUUUUGAUGCAACAUUUGAACAUCAUUGGGCUGUUAAUUGCUGACUCUUUCUCACAUGUUAUGUAAAGAUAUCCAUGACACUCUUUACAGUAGCCUCUGAUUUCAGUAUAAUUGUUUGUGACUGAUGGAUAGACCUUGGCUCUUUUAUAAAUAAAUGUGCAAGGACUUUUCA